UACGGGGGGGGGGCAAGCGUUGUUCGGAAUUACUGGGCGUAAAGGGCUCGUAGGCGGCCAACUAAGUCAGACGUGAAAUCCCCAGGCUUAACCUGGGAACUGCGUCUGAUACUGGAUGGCUUGAGAUUGGGAGAGGGAUGCGGAAUUCCAGGUGUAGCGGUGAAAUGCGUAGAUAUCAGGAAGAACACCCGUGGCGAAGGCGGCUCGCUGGGACGGUACUGACGCUGAGACGCGAAAGCGUGGGAGCAAACAGG
rnacentral:rRNA from 1 species